CAGCCGCCGCGGUAAUACCGGCGGCCCGAGUGGCGGUCACUAUUAUUGGGCUUAAAGCGUCCGUAGCCGGGUUGGGAAGUCCUCCGGGGAAUCUGGCCGCUUAACGGUCAGAAUGCCGGAGGAUACUCCCAGCCUAGGGAGCGGGAGAGGCCGGGGGUAUUCCCGGAGUAGGGGUGAAAUCCUAUAAUCCCGGGGGGACCACCUGUGGCGAAGGCGCUCGGCUGGAACGCGUCCGACGGUGAGGGACGAAGGCCAGGGGAGCAAACCGGAUUAGAUACCCGGGUAGUCCUGGCUGUAAACGAUGCGGACUUUGUGUCGGACAAGCUAUGAGCUUGUCCGGUGCCGGAGGGAAACCGUUAAGUCCGCCGCCUGGGGAGUACGGCCGCAAGGCUGAAACUUAAAGGAAUUGGCGGG
rnacentral:rRNA from 1 species